GGCCGUGUGGCGUAAUGGCAACGCGUCUGACUACGAUUAUUCAUCCCAUCUAGCUUGGGUUGAGUACAUGUGAUCAGGAGAUUGCAGGUUCGACCCCUGCCUCGGUCA